UACGGAGGAGGCUAGCGUUGUUCGGAAUUACUGGGCGUAAAGCGCACGUAGGCGGCUUUGUAAGUUAGAGGUGAAAGCCCGGGGUUCCAACUCCGGAACUGCCUUUAAGACUGCAUCGCUUGAAUCCAGGAGAGGUGAGUGGAAUUCCGAAGUGUAGAGGUGAAAUUCGUAGAUAUUCGGAGGAACACCAGUGGCGAAGGCGGCUCACUGGCUC
rnacentral:rRNA from 1 species